GACGCUGGCGGCGUGCCUAAUACAUGCAAGUCGAGCGGACCAAAGGGAGCUUGCUCCUGGAGGUUAGCGGCGAACGGGUGAGUAACACGUGGGCAACCUGCCUGUAAGACUGGGAUAACAUCGAGAAAUCGGUGCUAAUACCGGAUAAUAAAAAGAACUGCAUGGUUCUUUUUUGAAAGAUGGUUUCGGCUAUCACUUACAGAUGGGCCCGCGGCGCAUUAGCUAGUUGGUGAGGUAACGGCUCACCAAGGCAACGAUGCGUAGCCGACCUGAGAGGGUGAUCGGCCACACUGGGACUGAGACACGGCCCAGACUCCUACGGGAGGCAGCAGUAGGGAAUCUUCCGCAAUGGACGAAAGUCUGACGGAGCAACGCCGCGUGAGUGAUGAAGGUUUUCGGAUCGUAAAACUCUGUUGUUAGGGAAGAACAAGUGCCGUUCGAAAGGGCGGCACCUUGACGGUACCUAACGAGAAAGCCACGGCUAACUACGUG
rnacentral:rRNA from 1 species